UCAGAGAACAUAAUUAUAAAGAGAGAAUCAUGAAGCAGAGCCAUGAAUAUAUUUGGUCAUCCAUUCUUACAGGCCGAAGUUGGCCAACAUGCAUGCUAAUGCUCUCAGGAUGAUAAAAAUAUGGUCGAGCAAACGUAGAUUGGUAAAGCCAAAUGUAAUUGACUUGCAAAUCAGAUAAAGAGGUGGAUGCAUGGUUUGGAAAAUUUGUUCAUUUCCACCUGCACAAUUCUCCAUCUAUACACAAAUCCUCACUCCCAUGACCAAAUUCCAUGAAUCAG
rnacentral:lncRNA from 1 species